rnacentral:rRNA from 1 species
AAACUAGACGAGCUACUCCGAAGCAGUCUAAAAGGACUAACCCGUCUCUGUGGCAAAAGAGUGGGAAGACUUCCGAGUAGAGGUGAAAAGCCUACCGAGCCUAGUUAUAGCUGGUUGCUUAAGAAAAGAAUAUGAGUUCAGCCUUAUAAGUUUCUCAAAAAUCAAAAUGAAAGAAUAAAGUAACACAUAAGAGUUAGUCGAAGGGGGUACAGCUCCUUCGAAAAAGAACACAACCUUACCCAGGUAAAUAAGGAUUAUACUAAAAAAGGACAUGACUUUCAACAGUGGGCCCGAAAGCAGCCACCUCUAAUAGAAAGCGUUAAAGCUCAAGAACAGCCACACCAAAAAUAAAAAUAACCACUCCUAAUUUCCUAAUAAUAUUAAGCUACCCUAUUUUAUAGGAGAAAUUAUGCUAAAAUGAGUAAUAAGAGAAACUAGACCCUCUCCGGGCACACGUGUAAAUUAGAGCGGACAAACCACUGACAACUAACGGACCCAAAAAAGAGGGUAAAACAACAAAACUCAAUAAACAAGAAAAACCUAUUAAAACAACCGUUAACCCAACACAGGAGUGCCACUUAAGGAAAGACUAAAAGGGGAAGAAGGAACUCGGCAAACACAAACCUCGCCUGUUUACCAAAAACACCGCCUCCUGCAAAUAGAAUGUAUUGGAGGUCCUGCCUGCCCAGUGACAAUAGGUUCAACGGCCGCGGUAUUUUGACCGUGCAAAGGUAGCGUAAUCACCUGUCUUUUAAAUAAAGACCUGUAUGAAUGGCAAGACGAGGGUUUUACUGUCUCCUCCCCCCAGUCAAUGAAAUUGAUCUACCCGUGCAGAAGCGGGUAUAAAAACAUAAGACGAGAAGACCCUAUGGAGCUUUAGGCACACAUCAAAUAUGUAAAAAACCAAAUCUUCCAAAUAGGCCUAAAAAAUGAGAAAAACAAGUAUUAAUGAUUAAUUGCCUUCGGUUGGGGCGACCACGGGGAAAAAUAAAACCCCCACAUGGAAUGGGUAAAAUUAUCCUAAGCCAAGAAAAACAAUUCUAAGCAACAAAAUUUUUGACCAAUAAACGACCCAGGGACAACAUCCCUGAGCAAUGAACCAAGUUACCCUAGGGAUAACAGCGCAAUCCUUUCCCAGAGCCCAUAUCAACGAAAGGGUUUACGACCUCGAUGUUGGAUCAGGGCAUCCUAACGGUGCAGCCGCUGUUAAGGGUUCGUUUGUU